UACGAAGGGUGCAAACGUUGCUCGGAAUUAUUGGGCGUAAAGCGCACGUAGGCGGCCUUGUAAGUCGGAUGUGAAAUCUCCGAGCUCAACUCGGAAAUGGCAUUGAAUACUAUCCUGCUUGAGGGUCGGAGGGGAGACUGGAAUUCUCGGUGUAGCAGUGAAAUGCGUAGAUAUCGAGAGGAACACCAGUGGCGAAGGCGAGUCUCUGGACGACUCCUGACACUGAGGCACGAAAGCUAGGGGAGCAAACAGG
rnacentral:rRNA from 1 species